GAGUCAUCAGAAAUUAUGUUUUGGACACAUAAACACAAAAUACUCCCAACAUAAGGAAAAAAUUAGCAGAUGUCACUUUUAGGACAGCAUAUAAACUAGCAGAUUUUCCAUGAAAAUACCAUCGUAAAGAAUUGUACAUCCAGAAUAUGACGAAAAUGUUUUGUUCUCAGAUGUCAGUAACAUUAACCAGACAUUUAAAAAGAAUGUGGGGCCCUAGAGGUGAGGCUUAUUCAGACACCAUCCCUCAAGUAGACUGGGCCCAGUGCAGUUCAAAGCAAGCAUUUUCAUUUGUUUCAUUUUUCCUAUUUAGAAAUGGCAUUUGAGUUUUAUAACUAAUACGGAAUACUGGCAUUAAUGAGUAGCAACACCAAAGAUCUGCCAAAGGUACAAAUAUAAUUUAAGCAGUUAAAAGAGUUAGCUUUUCAGAAGCUGUAAGAUUGUUUAUUUCAUUAUUUUUAAUGUGCUUGCAAACCCCAUAAGCAGCGGGCCUCACUUGCCAAGGACAGUAGAUCUAUACCUUGGUCAAACAGACC
rnacentral:lncRNA from 1 species